rnacentral:rRNA from 1 species
AUUGAACGCUGGCGGCAGGCUUAACACAUGCAAGUCGAGCGAGCGGCGGACGGGUGAGUAUUGUAUGUGGACCUGCCCGCUAGAGGGGGAUAACUACUGGAAAAGGUGGCUAAUACCGCAUACUCUCGGAUGAAUCCGUAUGGGAUUAGCUAGUUGGUGGGGUAAAGGCUCACCUAGGCGACGAUCUCUAGCUGGUCUGAGAGGAGGAUAAGCCACACUGGGACUGAGACACGGCCCAUACUCCUACGGUAGGCAGCAGUGGUGAAUAGUGCACAAGGGGCGCAAGCCUGAUGCAGCCAUGCCGCGUGUAUGAAGAAGGCCUUAGGGUUGUAAAGUACUUUCAGCGGGGAGGCGUUACCCGCAGAAGAAGCACCGGCUAACUCCGUGCCAGCAGCCGCGGUAAUUC